UUUUGGUUUUUUUUUUCAGUGUGAUUAUAUCAAUGUUCCCACGACGAUAUUCACUCCUCUGGAAUACGGUUGCUGUGGGUUAUCGGAAGAGAAGGCCGUUGAAAUCCAUAAGAAAGAGAAUCUAGAAGUGUUCCACAGCUUCUUCUGGCCCCUCGAGUGGACGCUGGCCGGCAGGGAGAACAACACUUGCUACGCCAAGAUAAUCUGCAA